rnacentral:lncRNA from 10 species
CUAGUUCUGUUUUAAGUGCUAUCUACAGCAGGUAUGGACCCUUCCCCUGGAAAUACUCUCAGCAAUCCACUACAGAAUGUUGUGGGGUCAAGAGCACAGCUUGGUGCAGUGUUGAAGAGCUCUUGAGCCAGGCAUCUGGGCUUUGAAUCUGGCUUGGUCACUCACUGUGUGACCUAGGGACAAGUGUCCCUCUCAUGUCUUGUUUUUCUUAUCUCUCAUGUAAAGUCUUGUCUCACCACCUCAUUUCCACCCCCUGCCCUCCCUUACCCUGUUAUAUUUCCCUUCAUGGCUUUGAUUACCACAUGGCAUGAUGUGUGUUUGUCUACUUUGUUAACUCUCUGAAUCCCUCCAUCGGAACUGAAGGUCCAUGAAUGCUGAAGCUUUGCUUGUUCCACCAACAUGCAUAAUAGUGCCUGGCACAUACCAGGUGCAUCUAUAUAAGUUGACAGAGGGAUGAAUAAAUGAGUGAAUGGAAAAUGGAGAUAGCGGCUGAAUGUGCAAAAUAUCAGUUCUUUUUGACACUCUGGAAGACUGGAUGAAGCAAGGAAAAACUGGAAGUUCAACACUGGAUAAAGGAAAUAAUCCAGGAAUGGUAAGAAAAGGUGUUUGAUAACUAGAGGAGAGGAAUAGGUGGCUUGAAUGUAGUUUCAUAAAAAUGCAUGGACUAUGCAUCUGUCAGAUGCAGACCACAAGAAAAGCAGCAUGCAAACUGAGCUGAAGUAGAGGUUACCUAAAAGAGAUGGCUCUAUGCCCAGCUGAUGACUUGAGGCAGCCCACACCAAUCAUAAAGUGUUCUAUCACAUCUAAAAACAAAUGGGACUUGAUUCUCCUUUAUGGAUAUACAAUCAAAGGCAAAUGUCAAUAGGGUAACGAGUAAAAGAAGCUGCUAAUCUAGCCUCCAUAUAAUGCUGACACAUUACUCAGAUGAUAGUAAAUACACGAUGACUAGAUAUAAAAAUUUUUAACGCGUGAAUGCAGAGUAAGGAAAAUGCAUAGGACCCGAGCUGUUGAGCACUGGGGCAGAGGAAGUGUUCAGUAUAAAAGACAACCUUGGUCCUUGGCACAAGAUCUUUGUGCUGCUCUGAGAUUUGGAGCAACGUUUGGUCAUGCUUUUUUCUUCAUCUACAUUUUUAAAAGACUCAUUCACUAGAAUAUAAAAUAUGUAACAAGAACUUACAUGACCUUCCAGCAUCCUGCUCGUUUUUCACACUGCUUUGGAUUUGGUAGCUCCAUGUAUUAAGAUAAUCAGGAUGCUCAAAUAUAUUGCCACACACCGUAAAACUGGGUGAUAUCCAUGCCACAGCCAUUGGCAGCAUGUUACUGAAAGUUUUGAAGGGGAGGAAGGGAACUGUGCAUAUAAUAUUUCACCCCCAUCUAUUCUUUCCCCACGCUUCAUCAGAACAGAUGGCAGAGAUGCAUUAGUUGUCUCGUUUUGUUUUGAAAUGUUUCAUUGUAAAAUAAACAAUUCUUCAGUAGAGUUUUUGUUAGUACAUAAAACUAGACUUAGAGUAAAGUUAAAUGCCUUUUCCCCACUACCCCUGCCCCAAAGCAUAAAUAAAACAAAAAUUAAAAGAUGC